AGCUCAGCACUGGGUGUAAAGUGUGCGCAGGCGGUUUAGUAAGACAGAGGUGAAAUCCCCGGGCUCAACCUGGGAACUGCCUUUGUGACUGCAAAGCUGGAGUGCGGCAGAGGGGGAUGGAAUUCCGCGUGUAGCAGUGAAAUGCGUAGAUAUGCGGAGGAACACCGAUGGCGAAGGCAAUCCCCUGGGCCUGCACUGACGCUCAUGCACGAAAGCGUGGGGAGCAAACA
rnacentral:rRNA from 1 species